UUGGCUCCAACUGUAAUUUUUCACUCCAUCUCAUCUCCUUUCAUUCAUCUAUUAACUUUUUUAACCUAAUUCUCUCAUUCAACAGAUUCCUCUCAUCUCCUCUCAUUUUCUCCAUCACCUCUCAAUCUCUGUCAUCAUCUAAAUCAUCAUUUUCAUGCCAUGGCUCAACAAUCAUUCGUCGUAUUUCUAUCAUGGUUGAUCGAACACCGCCGUCUAUCACUUUUGCCCAUCAUAAAACUUUGCUGCGUCAAUUUCUUAUCGCAUCUCAGUUUUUUUUGUUUAAUUUCGACCACACAACUGAGAUCGAACAUGAUGCGAAAUUGUUAUUUCAACUGAGAAUGAAUAGAGGAAUGAGAUUUUUGUAAUAGCUUGCAGUUCAGAUUUUUCGGUUUUGAUACAUUAAAAUGGGCUGCAAUUACCCCUGAAGCUUAGAUAUAUAGCAAUACAGUGAAGCAGCUUAAUACUCAUUCGACUGAUGCUCUUAUUGCUAAUUAAGCUUGCACAGGAAUGAACUUGGUAAGCCUUCUGAAUCAGGAAAUAAUUGUGGAGAAGAUACAGUUAGGUGUAGAAACAAAAUUGAGGAGUUCAAAUGACGCAACGAUAUUUCAGGAACAAGUAUAUUUAAAACUGGGUGGUGAAGCUCAAUGCAUGGGGCUGCCUACCAUUUCCUUAAGAUAGUAUCUGCUUUCCCUAAUAUGAACAGUCAUUUCCUCUCAUCUCCUACAUCCAGAGGUUCAAUUUCCAUAGAAGAGUGGAAGUUAGAGUAAGAGAAGGAAGGGCGGUCAAUAUUCACAUGUUUUGUGCUCGUAGACUGGGAUUACUUCUCUCUACUGUGAGGGCCUUGGACAAUCUUGAUUCAGCUGGUUUCCAUGGAAUGAUGCGAUUCACAGUUUGUAUGUGAAAUCAUAUGACAAACUGAUCAGGCGAUAACCUUAGUUCUUUAACUCAAUUUGUCUGUAGCAACAAAAUUAUGUUCUUUAGUAAUUUUUCUUUAUUUUCUAAUUUUUUUAGUAUCGAACAUCCUUAAUUUUAUGUUCUCUUUCUAAAUUAUGACGAUAAUUUUAAUGUUUUCCAG